rnacentral:misc_RNA from 1 species
UUCUAAACUCACAUCCCUCAAGUAUUUGCUUCUUUCUGGUAAUGAGUUUGAAGGCUUAUUCUCAUUUAGCGCUUUGGCUAACCACUCUAAGCUUGAAGUAUUUCUACUCUCUUCGGGAAGUAGGAGGUUAGAAUUGGAAACAGAAAAUCCUACAUGGUUUCCUACAUUUCAACUCAAGUACGUUGACUUGUCCAAGUGCAACUUAAAUGUGAGAACUAGAGCAAUUCCUAGCUUUCUUCUCUACCAAUAUGACAUACGCUUCGUUGAUCUCUCUCACAAUAUGCUGU